rnacentral:tRNA from 1 species
GAUCUUAUAGUCUAACGGUUAAGACAUCAUCUCUUCAUGUUGAUAAUGUAGGUUCGAUUCCUACUAAGAUUA